rnacentral:rRNA from 1 species
UACGGGGGGGGGCAAGCGUUGUUCGGAAUUACUGGGCGUAAAGGGCUCGUAGGCGGCCAACUAAGUCAGACGUGAAAUCCCUCGGCUUAACCGGGGGAACUGCGUCUGAUACUGGAUGGCUUGAGUUUGGGAGAGGGAUGCGGAAUUCCAGGUGUAGCGGUGAAAUGCGUAGAUAUCUGGAGGAACACCGGUGGCGAAGGCGGCAUCCUGGACCGGCAUUGACGCUGAGGAGCGAAAGCCAGGGGAGCAAAGCGGG